rnacentral:ncRNA from 2 species
AUACGUUCUCAGGGCGGGGUGCAACUCCCCACCGGCGGUAUGCAGCCCCGUGCUGCGAGCCCGCGAGCGCUUGGCGAAGCCUGCUUCGCCAAGGUCAGCAGAUCUGGUGCGAUGCCAGAGCCGACGGUCACAGUCCGGAUGAAAGAGCAACGUGA